rnacentral:rRNA from 1 species
CCUACGGGAGGCAGCAGUGGGGAAUUUUGGACAAUGGACGCAAGUCUGAUCCAGCCACGCCGCGUGCGGGAAGAAGGCCUUCGGGUUGUAAACCGCUUUUGUCAGGGAAGAAAAGGUUCUGGUUAAUACCUGGGACUCAUGACGGUACCUGAAGAAUAAGCACCGGCUAACUACGUGCCAGCAGCCGCGGUAAUACGUAGGGUGCAAGCGUUAAUCGGAAUUACUGGGCGUAAAGCGUGCGCAGGCGGUUAUGCAAGACAGAGGUGAAAUCCCCGGGCUCAACCUGGGAACUGCCUUUGUGACUGCAUAGCUAGAGUACGGUAGAGGGGGAUGGAAUUCCGCGUGUAGCAGUGAAAUGCGUAGAUAUGCGGAGGAACACCGAUGGCGAAGGCAAUCCCCUGGACCUGUACUGACGCUCAUGCACGAAAGCGUGGGGAGCAAACAGGAUUAGAUACCCUGGUAGUCCACGCCCUAAACGAUGUCAACUGGUUGUUGGGAGGGUUUCUUCUCAGUAACGUAGCUAACGCGUGAAGUUGACCGCCUGGGGAGUACGGCGCAAGGUUGAAACUUAAAGGAAUUGACGG